CAUGUGGCAUGCAUGUGGUGUUUAGACUUGAACCUGGGGACACUUAUCUACUCGAAGUCCAACUCCGAAUAUGGCUUGGAUUUGUUCCAUAGAGGGUGAAAGACCCGUACGGGUAGAUUAUAUGUUUUGAAGUGUUCCUUAGAUGUUCUUGUCUUGGAGUCGGAUUGCUUGAGAAUGCAGUCCAAAGUGGGUGGUAAACUCCAUCCAAGGCUAAAUACCUGCACGAAUCCGAUAGUAGACAAGUACCGCGAGGGAAAGUUGAAAAGUACUCUGAAGAGAGAGUAAAUAGUACGUGAAGCCGCUUGUAUGGAAGCUGGUGGAGUCAAGCUUCUUAUUGUGGAAAUUGGCAUGGAGAUGUUUGUUCAUGGUUAAUGGAUUCAUUGGCUUGAAAAUAACCUGAUAGUUCGCUAUCACAUUUAUUCUCGGCAGUGUACGUGUUGUGGGUCCUAAUCGCCAGUCUCUUAUGUUAUUUUCCAUAAUAGUUAUCACGGGUCGGUGUGUCUGAUUGUGCGUGUUAGUUAAACCAGGUUUUAGUGAGUUUAACCGCUUGCUUGGCCUGGGAUGGCAGGUGGGUGCAUUCUGGACUCGUCUGGUUUGUAUCGUAUUAUAGCUUUGCUUGCUGACUAUCAUGUGUUAUAUUAUUCGACAUAUUGUUGCUAUUAUAGCGGUGUCCGAAAUGUAGCCAGCUGUUAAGGAAUCGUGGUAUUGAAGUAGACGUUCCCAUCCCGACCCCGUCUUGAAACACGGGACCAAGGAAGUUUAACCAUUUUCGCGAGUCAAUGGGCAGUAUUACGAAAAGCCAAAAGGCGUCAAUGAAAAGUAAAAGAUUGCAUCUCGCGAUCGAAGAGGUGUGAUGCUUGCCGUGCUCCUGACAUUAGGGCUUGGU
rnacentral:rRNA from 1 species